AUUGAACGCUGGCGGCAGGCUUAACACAUGCAAGUCGAGCGAGAGGCGGACGGGUGAGUAAUGUCUGGGAAACUGCCUGAUGGAGGGGGAUAACUACUGGAAACGGUAGCUAAUACCGCAUAACAUCAGAUGUGGCCAGAUGGGCUUAGCUAGUAGGUGGGGUAAUGGCUCACCAAGGCGACGAUCCCUAGCUGGUCUGAGAGGAUGACCAGCAACACUGGAACUGAGAUACGGUCCAGACUCCUACGGGAGGCAGCAGUGGGGAAUAUUGCACAAUGGGGGCAAGCCUGAUGCAGCCAUGCCGCGUGUGGUAAGAAGGCCUUCGGGUUGUAAAGCACUGUCAGUGAGGAGGCGUUACUCGCAGAAGAAGCACCGGCUAACUCCGUGCCAGCAGCCGCGGUAAUUC
rnacentral:rRNA from 1 species